rnacentral:rRNA from 1 species
GAUGAACGCUGACAGAAUGCUUAACACAUGCAAGUCAACUUGAAUUUGGGUUUUUAACUUCGGUUUGGGUGGCGGACGGGUGAGUAACGCGUAAAGAACUUGCCUCACAGCUAGGGACAACAUUUGGAAACGAAUGCUAAUACCUAAUAUUAUGAUAAUAGGGCAUCCUAUAAUUAUGAAAGCUAUAAGCGCUGUGAGAGAGCUUUGCGUCCCAUUAGCUAGUUGGAGAGGUAACGGCUCACCAAGGCGAUGAUGGGUAGCCGGCCUGAGAGGGUGAUCGGCCACAAGGGGACUGAGACACGGCCCGUACUCCUACGGGAGGCAGCAGUGGGGAAUAUUGGACAAUGGACCAAGAGUCUGAUCCAGCAAUUCUGUGUGCACGAUGAAGUUUUUCGGAAUGUAAAGUGCUUUCAGUUGGGAAGAAAGAAAUGACGGUACCAACAGAAGAAGUGACGGCUAAAUACGUG